AACCUUGUAUUCUCUGACUAUUGAGCAACUUCGAUUCCACUGGCAGUCUAAGUUCAACCAACCUCAGAGGAGCCUUGGGCCACAGAGAAGACCUGACUCUACAGACAAUUCUCCAGUGUUUCCAACAUUGGCUCAACCCAAAACUCAACUUCAGCAGAAAUGAAGGCUUGUGUUUUAGAAAGACCAUGCUGGUUGUAAUACAGAAGAUGGAUUAGAGGAAGACUUUUGCCAUACUCUAGAACAGAGGUGCUAAGAAACUCAGUUUAGACAGUGACUCUGAAGAUGAAGAAGUGGAGUUCGUUCCAGAGUCAUUAAGAGGCAGAAUCUGCAGGACCUAGUAUUCAAAUGGCUACUUAAGACUCCCUCCCUAGAGAUCUCAUCAAAUAACCAGGAAAGACCAACCAACAGAGAAGAGACUGGAAUCAUCUGCCCAGAAAGACUUUUCAUCUAUUCUUCUAAGGACAGCUCCAAGAGAUUACCUGGGGGACUUUGUAUAAAAAAUAAGACAACCUGUGUUCCUGUGCAGCUUCAUCCCUCAUCUUUCCCUAAGUGUCAAGAAGCAAUAGUUAGUCCACAAGCACGAGUGAAAUUACUGAACAAAAUUAAGAUGGAUACAGCACUCUAAAACACCCAUUUGAAUGCAUGUGAAAUCGACGACUUUCUCAAGCUCCACGACCCUCAAACUAGAACAAGACCUCUCCUCCUCCCUGACUCGCCAGCUUCCGAACCCUUGAACUACAACGACAUUGCUCCUGCCUGGAUCUGCAGCUCCACGACCCUAAAACCAGAACAAGACCUCUCCUCCACGGGUUGCCAGCUACCAGACCCUCGAAUUACAACAACAUUGCUGCUGCCUGGGUCUGCAGUUCCACGACCCUCAAACUAGAACAAGACCUCUCCUCCCCGGGUCGCCAGCUUGCAGACCCUCAAACUACGACAACAUUGCUCCUCCCUGGGUCUGCAGUUCCACGACCCUCAAACUAGAACAAGACUUCUCCUGCCCGGGUUGCCAGCUACCUGACCUUCGAACUACAACAACAUUGCUCCUCCUUGGGUCUGCAGCUCCAUGAACCUCAAACUAGAACAAGACCUCUCCUCCCUGGGUCUCCAGCUUCCUGACCCUGGAACUACAACAACAUGGCUCCUCGCUGGGUCUGCAGCUCCUCAACUCUCACCCUAGAACAGCAGCACCAGCUCCUUCCUGGACCUCCCGAUCAAUGACCCUCAGACUUCAAAGGCAGCACCAGUUCCACCCCCAGGCUCCAGCUCCAGCACCCUCAGAUCUGAACAGCAGCAGCACCAGCUCCUGUGUGGCUCUUCUGUUUCAUGAUCCUUAAAUUAGAACAGCAGCACCAUCUUCUCCCUGGGUCUCCAGCUCUACAAAACUCAAGCUAGAAUAGCAGCACCGGCUCCUCUGGGAUCUUCAGCUCCACGACCCUGCAACAUCAGUGCAGCACCGGCUCCUCCCCUGGGCUCCAGCUCCAGGACCCUCAAACUUGAACAAAAACACCAGCUCCUCCCCAGGCCUCCAGCUCCUUGACCCUCAUAAACAAUCCCUUCUUAUGAAAUGUAGCAGUCAGGAAAACUGCAGAGGAAGUAAAUAAAUAAAUGUUUUCCUUUCAAAAAAAAAGUACUUAAUUUGUUUUUAAAAGGCAAGGUCUUGCUCCAUCACCCAGGCUGGAGUGCAGAAGGAGGAUGGUUUUAAAUGAGAGAGGGAAAACAGGAAGAAAAGUAACUUUUCCUUUUUAGUCUCUAUGUGCCAGGCAUAUGUGAAAGUCAAGAUAAUAAAUGUAUUCCAUAGUGGUUGUACCAGUU
rnacentral:lncRNA from 1 species